AGGCGCGCGAUACAGGGUGACAGCCCCGUACACAAAAAUGCACAUGCUGUGAGCUCGAUGAGUAGGGCGGGACACGUGGUAUCCUGUCUGAAUAUGGGGGGACCAUCCUCCAAGGCUAAAUACUCCUGACUGACCGAUAGUGAACCAGUACCGUGAGGGAAAGGCGAAAAGAACCCCGGCGAGGGGAGUGAAAAAGAACCUGAAACCGUGUACGUACAAGCAGUGGGAGCACAGAGCAAUCUGUGUGACUGCGUACCUUUUGUAUAAUGGGUCAGCGACUUAUAUUCUGUAGCAAGGUUAACCGAAUAGGGGAGCCGAAGGGAAACCGAGUCUUAACUGGGCGUUAAGUUGCAGGGUAUAGACCCGAAACCCGGUGAUCUAGCCAUGGGCAGGUUGAAGGUUGGGUAACACUAACUGGAGGACCGAACCGACUAAUGUUGAAAAAUUAGCGGAUGACUUGUGGCUGGGGGUGAAAGGCCAAUCAAACCGGGAGAUAGCUGGUUCUCCCCGAAAGCUAUUUAGGUAGCGCCUCGUGAAUUCAUCUCCGGGGGUAGAGCACUGUUUCGGCAAGGGGGUCAUCCCGACUUACCAACCCGAUGCAAACUGCGAAUACCGGAGAAUGUUAUCACGGGAGACACACGGCGGGUGCUAACGUCCGUCGUGAAGAGGGAAACAACCCAGACCGCCAGCUAAGGUCCCAAAGUCAUGGUUAAGUGGGAAACGAUGUGGGAAGGCCCAGACAGCCAGGAUGUUGGCUUAGAAGCAGCCAUCAUUUAAAGAAAGCGUAAUAGCUCACUGGUCGAGUCGGCCUGCGCGGAAGAUGUAACGGGGCUAAACCAUGCACCGAAGCUGCGGCAGCGACGCUUAUGCGUUGUUGGGUAGGGGAGCGUUCUGUAAGCCUGUGAAGGUGUGCUGUGAGGCAUGCUGGAGGUAUCAGAAGUGCGAAUGCUGACAUAAGUAACGAUAAAGCGGGUGAAAAGCCCGCUCGCCGGAAGACCAAGGGUUCCUGUCCAACGUUAAUCGGGGCAGGGUGAGUCGACCCCUAAGGCGAGGCCGAAAGGCGUAGUCGAUGGGAAACAGGUUAAUAUUCCUGUACUUGGUGUUACUGCGAAGGGGGGACGGAGAAGGCUAUGUUGGCCGGGCGACGGUUGUCCCGGUUUAAGCGUGUAGGCUGGUUUUCCAGGCAAAUCCGGAAAAUCAAGGCUGAGGCGUGAUGACGAGGCACUACGGUGCUGAAGCAACAAAUGCCCUGCUUCCAGGAAAAGCCUCUAAGCAUCAGGUAACAUCAAAUCGUACCCCAAACCGACACAGGUGGUCAGGUAGAGAAUACCAAGGCGCUUGAGAGAACUCGGGUGAAGGAACUAGGCAAAAUGGUGCCGUAACUUCGGGAGAAGG
rnacentral:rRNA from 1 species